GUGGGUAUGGCUGAAUGGUUUAAGCGACGGUUUGUGGUUCCGUAAAUGUGGGUUCAAUUCCCGCUACUCGCC
rnacentral:tRNA from 1 species